CCACUACCAAACAUAGGGAAAUAUACCCCUCUCCUAACAUCAAACAUUACAACAAUUUACAAACAGAAUUAAAAUACAUAUCCCCUACAUUUGUCUCCCACAGCCGGCAUGCUCUCAAUUUAUAUCCUACUAUACAAUAAUGUGACAGAAACCUGGAAAGAAAACAUACAAUACAUUUUCACCCCCUUUCCUAUUAACAAUAUGGUAUCUCCCAGAACCUUAAAAAGGCGUUCAGUUUUCCCAGGGAUUCUUUUUGCGUGAACACCUUGGAACAAAGACCACAGGCCAGGACUCAAUUCCACUUCAACUGAGAAGCACCUCCCACAUCACCAAACCAAACAUUUUCAAUACCCUCAAAAAGAGAGGAAAUGCUAGGAAAAUCAGUAUUGAAAGAGGACCUUCAUUACACUUUGAAAUAAUAAAAAAGUGUAUUUUUUGGCACAAUGAAGAUCAUCGCUAUGCUGACGCGUACGACUCCGCUGAAUAAUUUCCAGUGAGAAAAAUGAACAUUUAGAGUCUGGUUACUCAGAGCGCCAGCAGAGAGCUUCACCACCUGGUGCAGCGACAAUCGCCUGAGGCUCAGUAUCAUCAGAACCAAUGAGCUCGUGUUGGACUACUGCUGUAGUGUAGCGGAUGAGAUUUAGUGGACGUUCCUCUUAAAACCAAUGUUAUCCCAAAGAGGCUUCGGUGCACCAGCUCACGUGGGACAUAAAACCCCCCUCUGGCUCUGUAAUAACGUGUGGACCCAUCAGCCCACAGCAAUCUACAGCCUACGCCUGUAGGUGGUUUUCCUCCCUGCUGUAGUGUGUUGCUAACUGUGUACACUUAUAAGCAUUUAUAAUCUCCAGGCUGAAGUAAGUUUCUUAAAACAAAAAGGUUAACACAUAUCAUCAUCUCUGCAUUACUGAGCAGCCUCAGUCUCUCAAGAUCUCCACCAAGCGCAGUCAGCCGGAGCACCUCUUUAUUUCUUUGUGCGUUUCAUCAGCUUGCAUUGUUGUAGUCUUUUAUUAUUCUCUAUUUUAAUAAAGCACUCAUUUGAGAAGUAAUCCAU